rnacentral:rRNA from 1 species
AUUGAACGCUGGCGGCAUGCUUUACACAUGCAAGUCGAACGGUAACAGGCCGCAAGGUGCUGACGAGUGGCGAACGGGUGAGUAAUGCAUCGGAACGUGCCCAGUCGUGGGGGAUAACUACUCGAAAGAGUAGCUAAUACCGCAUACGAUCUAUGGAUGAAAGCGGGGGACCGUAAGGCCUCGCGCGAUUGGAGCGGCCGAUGUCAGAUUAGGUAGUUGGUGGGGUAAAGGCUCACCAAGCCAACGAUCUGUAACUGGUCUGAGAGGACGACCAGCCACACUGGGACUGAGAAACGGCCCAGACUCCUACGGGAGGCAGCAGUGGGGAAUUUUGGACAAUGGGCGCAAGCCUGAUCCAGCAAUGCCGCGUGCAGGAAGAAGGACUUCGGGUUGUAAACUGCUUUUGUACGGAACGAAACGGCUCUGGUUAAUACCCGGGGCUAAUGACGGUACCGUAAGAAUAAGCACCGGCUAACUACGUG